GAUGAACGCUAGCGGCAGGCCUAAUACAUGCAAGUCGGACGGGAUUUGGGAGCUUGCUCCCAAUGAGAGUGGCGCACGGGUGCGUAACACGUAUGUAACCUACCUUAAUCAGGGGGAUAGCCUCUCGAAAGAGAGAUUAACACCGCAUAAUAUAUUUUUAUGGCAUCGUAGAAAUAUCAAAUAUUUAUAGGAUUAAGAUGGGCAUGCGGAACAUUAGCUAGUUGGUAAGGUAACGGCUUACCAAGGCUACGAUGUUUAGGGGAUCUGAGAGGAUGACACCCCACACUGGUACUGAGACACGGACCAGACUCCGACGGGAGGCAGCAGUAAGGAAUAUUGGUCAAUGGGCGCAAGCCUGAACCAGCCAUGCCGCGUGCAGAAAGACGGCCCUAUGGGUUGUAAACUGCUUUUGUACCGGAAUAAACCCUUUUACGUGUAAAAGGCUGAAUGUACGGUAAGAAUAAGGAUCGGCUAACUCCGUGCCAGCCGCCGCAGUAA
rnacentral:rRNA from 1 species